GACGAACGCUGGCGGCGUGCUUAACACAUGCAAGUCGAACGGGCGGCUGGGGUUCUGGCUUUUUUGGUUGGGGGUCUGGGGGUGAGUGGCGAACGGGGGAGUAACACGUGAGUAACCGGCCCUUCACCGCUGGAUAACCGCUAGAAAGGGUGGCUAAUACGGGAUGUGUCGGGGUCUGGCGCAUGGCGGGUUCGGGAAAGAUGGCACUGGGGGGUGCGUUGGGUGGGGGAGGGGCUCGCGGCCUAGCAGCUUGUUGGUGGGGUGAUGGCCUGACAAGGCUUUGGCGGGUCGCCGGCCUGAGAGGGUGCGCGCUCACACUGGCUCUGAGAUACGGCCCAGACUCCUACGGGAGGCAGCAGUGGAGAAUCUUGCACUAUGGGCGGACGCCUCAUGCCGCGACGUCGCGUGAGGUAUGGAGGCCUUCGGCUUGUGAACCUCUUUCGCCAGUGAGGCAGGCCUUGCCCGUGUGGUGGGGUUGACGGUAGCUGCGUUAAUUGAAGCGCCGGCUAACUACGUG
rnacentral:rRNA from 1 species